GCCCUCUGACACAUGCCACUGGCCAAUCUGAGGAGAUCAAUAGGAGAGGACUGGGAAGACAUUGGGGGUGGAUUUUCCCCCAAGGAGGAGGUGAUCUGGGGAACUUGGAGAACUGUGAAUGUUUUUUAGGGCAUUGGGAUCAGGAGAUAAAUAAAGUAUCACAGAUUUCUGUGCCUGGAAGACACUUGAGAGGCCAUUUCUCUGCCCUCGGGUGGAAGUGCAUUCAAUUCAUGGACAGAAAGGAGAACGAGAAAGACAGCCAUGGGCCCUGAGCCCUCUGUUUCCAAGCCCACCGAGCUCUGGGGAGGUGCUUAUCCAAACAAGCAGGUCCCCAAAGACUCAUCUGUUGCUUAUUUGUUCCUGGCCGUGGAGCUGUCAUGGGUAGAGAUUUAGUCUCAGAGCCAAGAAGAAUUCAUGCUGGCUGUGUGACCCUGGGCAGAUCACAACUUUCCCCAUCAAGGUUUUGACAUAUCGAGAGUUGGCAUAAGAAAUUAAGUGGGAAUUUUUGGAGAAUUUUGCAGAAGCCGCAGACAACACAGAAAGAAGUUCAGAAACUUAGAAAAUACAUAAAGUCUGAAUGGAAGAUCUCCACUGGUAGAUUACUCCCAAUCUCUCAAGCCUGGUGUUUUAAUUUACAUUUAGGGCCUCCAUGCCCAGGGGUGAUCCUCCUAUAUCUUCAUCAUGCCUGGAAAGGGGACUGUCAUGGAAUCUUGAUUGGAUCAAGUCUACCCUCAAGCCCAGGCCUUUUCUAUACAAUGAAUCCCACCCAUACUCCUUGGUCACUACUGUCCCCUAGUAGGGUGAACUCAAGGUGUAUUUGGAGAAUAAAGACAUCAAUUACAUGGUGAU